GAUGAACGCUGGCGGCGUGCCUAAUACAUGCAAGUCGAACGCUGAAGGAAGGAGCUUGCUCUUUCCGGAUGAGUUGCGAACGGGUGAGUAACGCGUAGGUAACCUGCCUGGUAGCGGGGGAUAACUAUUGGAAACGAUAGCUAAUACCGCAUAACAGUAGAUGUUGCAUGAUAUCUACUUAAAAGGUGCAAUUGCACCACUACCAGAUGGACCUGCGUUGUAUUAGCUAGUUGGUGAGGUAACGGCUCACCAAGGCGACGAUACAUAGCCGACCUGAGAGGGUGAUCGGCCACACUGGGACUGAGACACGGCCCAGACUCCUACGGGAGGCAGCAGUAGGGAAUCUUCGGCAAUGGACGGAAGUCUGACCGAGCAACGCCGCGUGAGUGAAGAAGGUUUUCGAAUCGUAAAGCUCUGUUGUAAGAGAAGAACGAGUGUGAGAGUGGAAAGUUCACACUGUGACGGUAUCUUACCAGAAAGGGACGGCUAACUACGUG
rnacentral:rRNA from 1 species